CUCAGAUCACGUAAACUAUUAAAAGUCGAACAGACUUAAUUAUUUUAGCCCCUUCACCAAAAAUUAAAUUUAAUUCAACAUCGAGGUCGCAACCUUAAUUAUUAAUAAGAACUUGCUAAUUAAAUAACGCUGUUAUCCCUAGAGUAACUUCUUUCUAUAAUAUAAUUUUCCUUUUUAAAGUAUUAAAAAUUUUUUUCCUUCAACUAUUGCCCCAACCAAAAUUAAUCUAAUAAUAAGCUUCUAGGGUCUUCUCGUCCCAAAGAUUAAUAAAAGCAUUUUAACUUUUAAUUUAAAUUCAAAAUCAUAAAAUAAAACUAUCCCUUCAGUUUCUACCUUUCAUUCCAGUCCCCAAUUAAAAAA
rnacentral:rRNA from 1 species